rnacentral:rRNA from 1 species
CCUACGGGUGGCUGCAGUGGGGAAUAUUGGACAAUGGGCGAAAGCCUGAUCCAGCCAUGCCGCGUGUGUGAAGAAGGCCUUCGGGUUGUAAGCACUUUCAGUGGGGAAGAAAGCCUUGGGGCUAAUACCCUCGAGGAAGGACAUCACCCACAGAAGAAGCACCGGCUAACUCCGUGCCAGCAGCCGCGGUAAUACGGAGGGUGCGAGCGUUAAUCGGAAUUACUGGGCGUAAAGCGCGCGUAGGCGGUCUGAUAAGCCGGUUGUGAAAGCCCCGGGCUCAACCUGGGAACGGCAUCCGGAACUGUCAGGCUAGAGUGCAGGAGAGGAAGGUAGAAUUCCCGGUGUAGCGGUGAAAUGCGUAGAGAUCGGGAGGAAUACCAGUGGCGAAGGCGGCCUUCUGGACUGACACUGACGCUGAGGUGCGAAAGCGUGGGUAGCAAACAGGAUUAGAUACCCGGGUAGUC